CAGCUUGUUUUCUAGGGUUCCGCGGCGGCCAUGCACCUGCCGGACUGGUCCGAGAGAAAACGCACGGCACGGCCGUGUACACGGAGGGACAAAAGCCCGGGAGGA
rnacentral:sRNA from 2 species